AUGGUACUCUCUCCGUUUCGAAUUACUUGUCGUAGAAAUGGAUGUAUCUAGAACUAAAAAAUGUCUAGAUACAUCCAUUUUUUCGACAAGUAAUUCCGAACGGAGGGAGUACUAA
rfam:Triticum aestivum genome assembly, contig: Triticum_aestivum_CS42_TGACv1_scaffold_604030_7DL